ACUGACUGGCUCAGCAUGUGUCUACCCUAUACUGACAGGUGCGGGUAACCCAUUGAACCCCAUUCAUGAUGGGAAUCGGGGAUUGCAAUUAUUUCCCAUGAAC
rnacentral:ncRNA from 1 species